rnacentral:hammerhead_ribozyme from 1 species
AUCCAGCUGACGAGUCCCAAAUAGGAUGAAGAAUGCAUCCUGGAU